rnacentral:rRNA from 1 species
CGAGCCUACGGGGGGCAGCAGUGGGGGAUAUUGCACAAUGGGGGAAACCCUGAUGCAGCGACACCGCGUGGGUGAGGAAGCGCUUCGGCGUGUAAAGCCCUAUCAGUGGGGAAGAAAAAGGACGGUACCCAAAGAAGAAGCACCGGCUAAAUACGUGCCAGCAGCCGCGGUAAUACGUAUGGUGCAAGCGUUAUCCGGAAUGACUGGGUGUAAAGGGAGCGUAGACGGUUGUACAAGUCUGAUGUGAAAUCCAGGGGCUCAACCCCUGAACUGCAUUUGAAACUGUCGUUCUUGAGUACUGGAGA